rnacentral:rRNA from 1 species
CACCACAAGGGUGAAGCCUGCGGCUUAAUUGGAGUCAACGCCGGGAAUCUUACCGGGAGCGACAGUAGUAUGAAGGCCAAGCUGACGACUUUGCUAGACAGACUGAGAGGAGGUGCAUGGCCGUCGUCAGUUCGUACUGUGAAGCAUCCUGUUAAGUCAGGCAACGAGCGAGACCCACGCCAACAGUUGCCAGCAUGUCCUCCGGGAUGAUGGGGACACUGUUGGGACCGCCUCUGCUAAAGAGGAGGAAGGAAUGGGCAACGGUAGGUCAGCAUGCCCCGAAUUAUCCGGGCUACACGCGGGCUACAAUGGUCAGGACAAUGGGUAUCGACACCGAGAGGUGGAGGCAAUCUCCUAAACCUGUCCUUAGUUCGGAUUGUGGGCUGCAGCUCGCCCACAUGAAGCUGGAAUCCGUAGUAAUCGCGUUUCAAAAUAGCGCGGUGAAUAUGUCCCUGCUCCUU